GCCUCAUCCCUCUCUCCUGGCGAUGCGGGGUUUCGCUCGACGAGAGAGGGAGAGAGGAGACAUGAACCCUCCUUCCAAUCUUCUUGAUGAGGCCCUAGGCCUCGGCCACGGAGGAGCCAUCGCUGCGCUUCCCGCGGGGCGGGUCGUCCUCGUCGAGGACUGCGUCGAGACGAGCGGCGCGUUCGUUCUCCACCACCUCCUGAAGCGCGCCCUCUCCGCCGGCGAGGGUGGCGGGGACGUACUCUUUCUCGCCCUUGCCCAGCCUUUCUCCCACUACGACCGCGUUCUGAGGAAGCUAGGUUGCAGUCUAUCGGUUCAAAGGAACAACAAUAAACUGCACUUUUUUGACAUGCUUAAGCUAGAAUUUCCAGGUCUGACUGGAGGAAAUGACAUUGAAAGUGGUUUUGUUGGAUUGUAUAGUAAGAUUCAAAGGGCUAUAGAAGCGAGAAGGUCAAAGGAAUACAGCAGAGGCUGCAUUACCAUCAUGAUAGAUGACCUCUCCCUUUUAGAGAUAGCUGCAUGUGGUUCUAUAGAUUGUGUCUUGGACUUCCUGUACUACUGUAUUAGCCUCACAGCAGAACUGGAUUGCUCUCUAGUGAUUCUGAACCAUGAAGAUAUCUAUUCAAGCGAGGAGGCCCCAAGGUUCCUUUCACAUCUGGAGUACCUUGCGGAUAUUGUGAUAAAGACAGAACCAUUAAGUACUGGUUUAUCUGCUGAUGUGCACGGACAAGUAUGCUUAUUAUUACUCAAUAACACGAUUGACCAUUUUCAACAAAGGGACUUCCAGCAGACAUGGGCAUUCAAUGAACAAAAUUCAUAACUUCCACUUCAAGGUGAAGGAAAAUGGUGUUGAAUAUUUCUACCCAGGAAGUCAAUAUUGAGGUGGCUCAUAGUUAAUGGUCCACACGGAAUUUGUGUUACUGUUGACCUCUUCAAUUUAACACGGGACUUUUGCCCUCAUCACGAGUCUACCAUAUUCCUCCCUACAUGAUCAAAAGAUAGAGGGAGAGCAGCAUUACCUUCCACUGGCCCAGUGAACAUAGAAGAUGACCCACAUUGUGGGGCAGCUGCUGCCAUAUUCUUGAGAGACAUCUCAUCAUGGUCUGGUGGCUGCAGCCGCUGCUGCAGCUGCAUGCUGUGGAUAUGGUGUUGGUGAUGAUAGAGGUGAUGGCGAUGGUGCACUUGGACUCGACAUUGGAUCUCUCUUGGCUGUCCCACUGAUGCUGCUGCUAAAUCAUCAACUUUCUGUUGCAUAACUUGCUGAGCAGAUGCUUGAAACUGCACAGGAUGGAAGGCUGAAGAGGGAUGGAUACACUUGAACGUUGAUGUAGAUGCUGCUUUUUCCUUGUACGCAACUGGUUUUGUGAAGACAUUAUUGGUGGUGGAGCCCAUGUCAUUGUUGUUACUACUGCAAUCAGAGCCCCGUUUUAGAGGAGCAGCAUAUGAAUUACAUAUCAUAUUGUUUGUA